GAUGAAGAACGUAGCGAAACGCGAUAGUUAAUGUGAAUUGCAGAAUUCAGUGAAUCAUCGAGUCUUUGAACGCACAUUGCGCCCAUUGGUAUUCCUUUGGGCAUGUCUGUUUGAGCGUCAUUACAACCCUCAGCUACCCGCUGGUUUUGAACCCGAACGGUGCCCCCUAACCGGGGAACCGAGCCGGUUUUAAAGUUGUAAGCUCUGCUGGCCGCUCCGCCCCAACCAGAACAUAGUAAAAUACUACUUUUGUUAGGGUCAAGCAGAACGGUUUUUCGGCCUGAACAAAACCUACCAUUUUUCAAGGUUUGACCUCAGAUCAGACAAGGAUACCCGCUGAACUUAAGCAUAUCAAUAAGCGGAGGA
rnacentral:misc_RNA from 1 species